CAUGCAGUUGAGCGCUGAAGGUUGGUACUUGUACCGACUGGAUGAGCAGCGAACGGGUGAGUAACGCGUGGGGAAUCUGCCUUUGAGCGGGGGACAACAUUUGGAAACGAAUGCUAAUACCGCAUAAAAACUUUAAACACAAGUUUUAAGUUUGAAAGAUGCAAUUGCAUCACUCAAAGAUGAUCCCGCGUUGUAUUAGCUAGUUGGUGAGGUAAAGGCUCACCAAGGCGAUGAUACAUAGCCGACCUGAGAGGGUGAUCGGCCACAUUGGGACUGAGACACGGCCCAAACUCCUACGGGAGGCAGCAGUAGGGAAUCUUCGGCAAUGGACGAAAGUCUGACCGAGCAACGCGCGUGAGUGAAGAAGGUUUUCGGAUCGUAAAACUCUGUUGGUAGAGAAGAACGUUGGUGAGAGUGGAAAGCUCAUCAAGUGACGGUAACUACCCAGAAAGGGACGGCUAACUACGUGCCA
rnacentral:rRNA from 1 species